GCAGACACAUUCCAGCCAAUCAGCAGCAGACCCUCCCUCCCAGACCCUCCCACUUCCUGGACAGCAUCUAUUUUGAAGCUGCAUUCUUAGUGAGCUGUCCAGGAGGUGGGAGGGUCUGGGAGGGAGGGUCUGCUGCUGCUGAUUGGCUGGAAUGUGUCU
rnacentral:miRNA from 1 species